CCUACGGGAGGCAGCAGUAGGGAAUUUUCGUCAAUGGGCGCAAGCCUGAACGAGCAAUGCCGCGUGAACGAGGAAGGUCUUCGGAUUGUUAAGUUUCGUUUAAGGGGAAAAAGAGUGGUGCGAGGAAAUGGUCUCCGAUUUAUAUUAUCCUUCGGGGAAGUCAAGGUUACCUCCGGCCAAGCAGCCGCGGUGAUAGGUAGGUGGCGUGCGUUUUCGGGUUUGUUUGGGCGGAAAGGGUGCGUGGUUGGCCUGUUAAGUCGGGAGGGAAUGGUACCGGCUAAACCGGUACAGGCACUGGAAACUGGCGGGCUAGAGAGCAGGAGAGGGCGGUGGAAUUCGUGGUGUAGCGGUAAAAUGCGUAGAUAUAUGGAAGAACACCAGUGGCGAAGGCAGCCGCCUGGCCUGUUACUGACGCUGAGGCACGAAAGCGUGGGGAGCAAAUAGGAUUAGAUACCCCUGUAGUC
rnacentral:rRNA from 1 species